rnacentral:rRNA from 1 species
CCCUUAGACGUUCUGGGCCGCACGCGCGCUACACUGACGAAGGCAACGAGCUUUCCUUUACCGAAAGGUACGGGUAAUCUUUUGAAACUUCGUCGUGCUGGGGAUAGAUCCUUGCAAUUUUUGAUCUUAAACGAGGAAUUCCUAGUAAGCGCAAGUCAUCAACUUGCGUUGAUUACGUCCCUGCCCUUUGUACACACCGCCCGUCGCUACUACCGAUUGAAUGGUUUAGUGAGGCCUUCGGAUCCGCGACUCGUUUUGUGGAGAAGUUGGACAAACUCAGUCGUUUAGAGGAAGUAAAAGUCGUAACA